rnacentral:lncRNA from 1 species
GAGAAAGCAUAUUUCUAUUACUCAUGUUUUUCCUGCUAUGGAGUGCUCAUUUGUCAUCGGUUGCUGGUAUAUUUGGAGUGAAUGUAAUCAUCGGGUAUUUGAUUUUGAAGCGAAAGUGGCAUCGCGACGGGCUAAAGAAGCUACCCUUCUUGCUGAGAGUUGGUUGCAGCACACAGAUAAUGUAAAUGUUUAGAGUGCUUUAAGC